GUGCUUUUGCACAUUGGGUAGGGGAGCGUUCUGUAAGCGGUUGAAGGUGUGUGGUAACGCAUGCUGGACGUAUCAGAAGUGCGAAUGCUGACAUGAGUAACGAUAAAGGGGGUGAAAAACCUCCUCGCCGGAAGACCAAGGGUUCCUGUCCAACGUUAAUCGGGGCAGGGUAAGUCGACCCCUAAGGCGAGGCCGAAAGGCGUAGUCGAUGGGAAACGGGUUAAUAUUCCCGUACUUCUUACAAUUGCGAUGGGGGGACGGAGAAGGCUAGGUGGGCCUGGCGACGGUUGUCCAGGUUCAAGUGCGUAGGCUUGAGAGUUAGGUAAAUCCGGCUCUCUUUAAGGCUGAGACACGACGUCGAGCACCUACGGGUGUGAAGUCAUUGAUGCCAUGCUUCCAGGAAAAGCCUCUAAGCUUCAGAUUGUAAGGAAUCGUACCCCAAACCGACACAGGUGGUCGGGUAGAGAAUACCAAGGCGCUUGAGAGAACUCGGGUGAAGGAACUAGGCAAAAUGGUACCGUAACUUCGGGAGAAGGUACGCUCUCGACGGUGAAGUCCCUCGCGGAUGGAGCUAUUGAGAGUCGCAGAUACCAGGUGGCUGCAACUGUUUAUUAAAAACAC
rnacentral:rRNA from 1 species